rnacentral:ncRNA from 1 species
UUUUGCAACUUUUGAGAUAAUGAUUUAAGGGCGUCUUAUCUGGUAACGGGUAAGAAUAUAACUGGGUGAAUUGCUGGAACUUCCUAAAGCCUCAUCAACCACAACGUAACUGGAAACGGUCAGCGUGAGGGUCUGAAAAUGAUGGGGAUGUAACAAUGGAUAAUCAGCAGCCAAGCUCCUGUAAGGAAACUUUGGAGAAGGUUCAACGACUAGAGAACACGGUCUAAGGCAAAGCUAUGACUAUGAAUCUCGUAGGGCAGCAAAUGCUGUUCGAAGUGCCCAGCUCCAUGAAAACAUGGAUGAAGAUAUAGUCUAUUCUGUAAUCGAAAGAUGCAG